rnacentral:rRNA from 1 species
GGACUUAGUGGCGGACGGGUGAGUAACACGUGAGAACCUACCCUUAGGAUGGGGACAACAGUUGGAAACGGCUGCUAAUACCCGAUGUGCCGGAAGGUGAAAGAUUUAUCGCCUAGGGAAGGGCUCGCGGCUGAUUAGCUAGUUGGUAAGGUAAAGGCUUACCAAGGCGACGAUCAGUAGCUGGUCUGAGAGGAUGAGCAGCCACACUGGGACUGAGACACGGCCCAGACUCCUACGGGAGGCAGCAGUGGGGAAUUUUCCGCAAUGGGCGAAAGCCUGACGGAGCAAUACCGCGUGUGGGAGGAAGGCUCUUGGGUUGUAAACCACUUUUCUCAGGGAAGAAUAGAUGACGGUACCUGAGGAAUAAGCAUCGGCUAACUCCGUGCCAGCAGCCGCGGUAAUACGGAGGAUGCAAGCGUUAUCCGGAAUCAUUGGGCGUAAAGCGUCCGCAGGUGGCCUAUCAAGUCUGCUGUCAAAGCGCAGAGCUCAACUCUGUAAAGGCAGUGGAAACUGAUAAGCUAGAGUUCGGUAGGGGUAGCGGGAAUUCCCAGUGUAGCGGUGAAAUGCGUAGAUAUUGGGAAGAACAUCGGUGGCGAAGGCGCGCUACUGGGCCGAAACUGACACUGAGGGACGAAAGCUAGGGGAGCGAAAGGGAUUAGAUACCCCUGUAGUCCUAGCCGUAAACGAUGGAAACUAGGCGUGGCUUGUAUCGACCCGAGCCGUGCCGAAGCUAACGCGUUAAGUUUCCCGCCUGGGGAGUACGCACGCAAGUGUGAAACUCAAAGGAAUUGACGGGGGCCCGCACAAGCGGUGGAGUAUGUGGUUUAAUUCGAUGCAACGCGAAGAACCUUACCAAGGCUUGACAUGUCGCGAAUCCUGCCGAAAGGUGGGAGUGCCUUAGGGAGCGCGAACACAGGUGGUGCAUGGCUGUCGUCAGCUCGUGUCGUGAGAUGUUGGGUUAAGUCCCGCAACGAGCGCAACCCUCGUUUUUAGUUGCCAGCAUUAAGUUGGGCACUCUAGAGAGACUGCCGGUGACAAACCGGAGGAAGGUGGGGAUGACGUCAAGUCAGCAUGCCCCUUACGUCUUGGGCAACACACGUACUACAAUGGUCGGGACAAAGAGCAGCGACCUCGCGAGAGUAAGCGAAUCUCAUCAAACCCGGCCUCAGUUCAGAUUGCAGGCUGCAACUCGCCUGCAUGAAGGAGGAAUCGCUAGUAAUCGCAGGUCAGCAUACUGCGGUGAAUUCGUUCCCGGGCCUUGUACACACCGCCCGUCACACCAUGGAAGCUGGCCACACCCGAAGUCGUUACCCUAACCUUUCGAGGAGGGGGACGCCGAAGGUAGGGCUGGUGACUGGGGUGAAGUCGUAACAAGGUA